AACGAACGCUGGCGGCAUGCCUAACACAUGCAAGUCGAACGAGACCUUCGGGUAUAGUGGCGCACGGGUGCGUAACGCGUGGGAACCUGCCCUUAGGUUUGGAAUAACUGCCCGAAAGGGGUGCUAAUACCGGAUAAUGUCUUCGGACCAAAGAUUUAUCGCCUUUGGAUGGGCCCGCGUUGGAUUAGCUAGUUGGUAGGGUAAAAGCCUACCAAGGCGACGAUCCAUAGCUGGUCUGAGAGGAUGAUCAGCCACACUGGGACUGGGACACGGCCCGGACUCCUACGGGAGGCAGCAGUGGGGAAUAUUGGACAAUGGGCGAAAGCCUGAUCCAGCAAUGCCGCGUGAGUGAUGAAGGCCUUAGGGUUGUAAAGCUCUUUUACCCGGGAUGAUAAUGACAGUACCGGGAGAAUAAGCUCCGGCUAACUCCGUG
rnacentral:rRNA from 1 species